UUCGUCCAAUUGAAGCAGAGGACAGUGGCGGACGGGUGAGUAACGCGUGAGGAACCUGCCUUUCAGAGGGGGACAACAGUUGGAAACGACUGCUAAUACCGCAUAAGACCACAGUGUCGCAUGGCACAGGGGUCAAAGGAUUUAUCCGCUGAAAGAUGGGCUCGCGUCCGAUUAGCUAGAUGGUGAGGUAACGGCUUACCAAGGCGACGAUCAGUAGCCGACCUGAGAGGGUGACCGGCCACAUUGGGACUGAGACACGGUCCAAACUCC
rnacentral:rRNA from 1 species